AUCAAAGGGCAACAUAGUCUAUUUCAAAGUGAUUGAUGGAUUAAAAUGAUCAAUUCCCUUUUUAAAUGUACCAUUUUCUCUUUCAUUUUCGUCUAAUUUCUUAGCAGAUGUUUAUCAAUUGAGCUAAAUUUACACAAUGUGAAAGGUAAAGAGGCAAAAUUAAUACAAUGGGAACUACAAUGACUAAAUUGACGAAAGAGUCAAAUUAUAGAGACAAUUGGUAUAAUUUGCCCAUGUUUUAUUAGAAUCACAAAAUAAUAGGGUACCUUGUUAAAAUGUUUCUCAUCACAUGUGUUCUUGAAGUGGAUUAUAUUUGGAGUUGGGUGUGUAUGUCUUUGCAAUUCUAUUUAAAAUAUAUUAGUGGAUACAUGUGUAAGCUUUGAUGAUUUUACUAAUAAACACUUGAAAGAAUCUCAUUACAGGGAGAUCCUUAUUGUGCCCUAACAACAUCAAUCUCAGUUCGGAGGUUCAUGUUGGAAUCAUUGGCGUGGGAAAAAUGGCCAUGUUUCUCUAACAAUCGGUUCUUGGAAGAAGCUAAGAAAUCUUCUAAGCUAGGUUUAGCUGCCCAGAGGAAAGCUUAUUUCGAAGCCCUUUACAAGAGAAAUGCUGCUAAGAAAGCUGGAGACAGCUCAAAUCCAGCGAGUAAUGACUUGUCUGAACCAAAUGUUAUGGAAGAGACAGCUCAAACCCUCCAGGAAUUCCAACUAGGGCAUCAGUGAAUGGGUUAUCAGUGCAUUCUUCAGCAACUCCUCAAGAAGAAAGAAGAAGAAGUAGAGCAGUGGAUGAUUGCUUAGUUUCUGGAAGGAGGAUAGCAGAUGGGAAAUCAGAUGGGAUAGAGUAAGAUCUUAGUUUGUCUAUGUUGUGGAUUGUGGAGUUCUCAUUAGAUGCUCAUAUGACUAUCUGCUGAGUGUAAAGAUUUUGUAUUGCAUACUAGGAACAAUAGCUCCAAGAAAGUUCCAAAAGUCUUGCUAGUAACAUACAGAAGGCAGCAUAACAGAAAGUGUAAGGGAAGCUGCUUCAUUUUGGAUAGAUAGUUUGUGGGUUCGACCAUGAGAGUAGCCACUUUGUGCAAAUAAUGUUAGGAGAAAGCUGACGACGGCUUCAAAAAAAUUAUCAGAGUACUGCUUUCAGGGCUAAGUCAAUUGUAAAUUCUAAUCCUGAAACAAAAUCACCAAGUAAUUGCAUGAAGAAGAUCUCACUGACACAGCCCCCAUCACCAAAACUUGGACGGAAGACAAUUCCCGGCAUGGUUCAGGAUACUGGUUCCCGACCUCCUAGGAGGCCUUCAGUCAAGAUUUUGCCCUCCUCCAAGGAUGUUACAGAAAAGAGUAUUCAAAAUUCAAUUCAUUCUAUCAAUUCACUGCUGAGGAAGAAUAUGCGUGAAAACACUUCCCCAAAUAUCCAAUUUUGAGUGGUGGAGCCAGAGGAUUGAUUGCCUUUCCAAGCUUACACAUAUAGAACACUACUAAAGGAUUGAUUGCCUUUCCAAGAAUUUAGAAGAGAACCAAUACAAAAUUCCACAUCUACUAAAGGUUGAAAGCAACCAUCAAGACAAAUUAGGCAUGUCCCACUUCUAUUUUCUACCAUUUGGAUCCAUUAUGUUCUUUUGGGUACAUACACCGCUGAUUCCUCUAGUUUGAAUAAAAUUUUAGUUUGGUUCUCGCAGUGUCAA